UACGUAGGGGGCAAGCGUUGUCCGGAUUUAUUGGGCGUAAAGCGCUCGCAGGUGGUCCGCUGCGUCGUGCGUGAAAGACCCCGGCUCAACUGGGGGAUGUCGUGCGAUACGGGCGGACUGGAGGCCAGUAGGGGGAUGCGGAAUUCCGGGUGUAGUGGUGGAAUGCGUAGAGAUCCGGAGGAACACCAGUGGCGAAGGCGACACGCUGGGCCGUACCUGACACUGAUGCGCGACAGCAUGGGGAGCAAACAGG
rnacentral:rRNA from 1 species